GCAGUCCAUGGGCAUAUACAC
rnacentral:ncRNA from 13 species